rnacentral:rRNA from 1 species
GACAGAGGGGGCAAGCGUUGCUCGGAAUUAUUGGGCGUAAAGGGUAGGUAGGUGGUCUCAUUUGUCUGAGGUGAAAUCCUUGGGCUUAACUUAAGAAGUGCCUCAGAAACGGUGAGACUAGAGUCCUGGAGAGGGUCGUGGAAUUCCCGGUGUAGCGGUGAAAUGCGUAGAGAUCGGGAGGAACACCAGAGGCGAAAGCGGCGACCUGGACAGGAACUGACACUCAACUACGAAAGCGUGGGGAGCAAACAGG